rnacentral:rRNA from 1 species
GUGUCAGCAGCCGCGGUAAUACGGAGGGUGCAAGCAUUGAUCGGAAUUACUGGGUGUAAAGGGCGCGUAGGCGGCAGGAAAAGUCGGAUGUGAAAUUCCGGGGCUCAACCCCGGAGCUGCAUUUGAAACUAUCCAGCUAGAGGUUAGUAAGGGAAAACGGAAUUCCACGUGUAGCGGUGAAAUGCGUAGAUAUGUGGAAGAACACCGGUGGUGAAGACGGUUUUCUGUGCUAAACCUGACGCUGAGGCGCGAAAGCUAGGGGAGCAAACAGGAUUAGAUACCCUGGUAGUCCUAGCCGUAAACGAUGCAUACUAGAAGUAGGAGGGCUCAACCCUUUCUGUUUCGGAGCUAACGCGUUAAGUAUGCCACCUGGGGAGUACGCUCGCAAGGGUGAA